UUCCGCGGCCCAGCUGGUUUGUUUUCAACAAUACGGUCAAAGCCACACGCCCACCAUUAUUUACGCCGCCAGCCAGCGCCGGCACUUCGGCGGGAGGAAGGAAGCACCUAAGGCGCUGGGGGCGGAAACGCUGAGGUGGAGGGGUGCGCCUCAGGCGAGAGCUGGCCGGCGCCGACUGGGCCUGGGGCAGCGGCCGCAGCUCCCCGCCCGGGACCGCGCACAAAGGCCUGAGGUCCGGGCCGCACUCACCGAAGUCCAGGAACUGCUUCAUGGAGAGCGGGGACGGCGAGAAGCGCGCGUAGAAGUCCACCUGGCCCGGAACGCCGCGCUCGGACGCCGGGCUGGAGUCCGAGUCCGAGCUGAAGCUGCGGCUGGGGCCGGCGGCGCGCAGCCCCGGGCCCGGGCCGGCCAAGGCGGCUCCGCGAAGCAGCCGCGCCAGCCUCAUGCCGAGUCCCGCUAGAGAAGCCACAGCCCGGGCUCCAGGUUUCCCCGCUCCUCUGCCGAGUGGGUUGAAGGCAAAUACUUGAAGUUGCAAUCCAAGGUCAGGAAAAAGGAAUCAAGAGGUCACAAUCCUUCUCUGAUGAUGGCUCAGAAAGCUGGAAGACACUCAACAUUGAAUCCUGGGGCUCCGUGCCAUGCUUGCUAGGAGAAACAGCCACCGUGAGUCCAUGUUUCAGAUCUCAAGUGAACAGCAUGGUAUCGGGGAACACUGUCAUCGUACCUAGAGCGUUUAAAGAAUCCACACUAGAGAAGAGGGAAAGAGAAAGAGAAACAAAUUAAUCUCACAAAGAAGCAAGUACACUAAAUGGGAAUGUCUAAGCUUUCUGUUCAGCUAUGUCUACCUCUGGACUAAGGGGAAAAAGACAUGGUUUUCUUUUAAGAAAGAACCAAGAGGUUGAAAUGAAAGAAGAGCCAGUGGGGAUCAACGGAAGAGAACAGCUGUAAAACUGGAAGAAAAGUCCAUUUUCAUCUUCUCUUUACAUUUUAUAACAAAUGUAGGCUACCUCUUUACUAACAAUUUAAGAGUUUAUGAAAACAGUGCUUCCAUAUUUAAAAAUAAUCACAAUAUUAUAUGUAAAAUAUCUGAUUAUCAGAUUAGAUUAAGGAUAAUUUUUAAAAGGCAUAAACCAAAGAUUAUUUCAUGCCCCUUUCCCACUAAUAAAAUGCAAAUCAUGUCACAAGUAUUUUACAAAUUACUAUUUGAAUAUGCCAGUGUUCCAACAGGUCAACUUUAUAAUCUUUUUCUCUCCUCUGAGGCUCUAGUACACCUAUCACUUCUCUCGUUAGCCAGGAGGUCAUUUAUGUUGCCUGGAUUUGCUAUUGUGCGUGUAAUUAAGCUAUUUCAUUAAUAAAUCACAUAGUAACUGUCUCCUGCAAUAAAAAUCAUGUGCUGCAUAGGA
rnacentral:antisense_RNA from 1 species